rnacentral:rRNA from 1 species
UGCAGUCGAACGCUUCUUUUUCCACCGGAGCUUGCUCCACCGGAAAAAGAGGAGUGGCGAACGGGUGAGUAACACGUGGGUAACCUGCCCAUCAGAAGGGGAUAACACUUGGAAACAGGUGCUAAUACCGUAUAACAAUCGAAACCGCAUGGUUUUGAUUUGAAAGGCGCUUUCGGGUGUCGCUGAUGGAUGGACCCGCGGUGCAUUAGCUAGUUGGUGAGGUAACGGCUCACCAAGGCCACGAUGCAUAGCCGACCUGAGAGGGUGAUCGGCCACAUUGGGACUGAGACACGGCCCAAACUCCUACGGGAGGCAGCAGUAGGGAAUCUUCGGCAAUGGACGAAAGUCUGACCGAGCAACGCCGCGUGAGUGAAGAAGGUUUUCGGAUCGUAAAACUCUGUUGUUAGAGAAGAACAAGGAUGAGAGUAACUGUUCAUCCCUUGACGGUAUCUAACCAGAAAGCCACGGCUAACUACGUGCCAGCAGCCGCGGUAAUACGUAGGUGGCAAGCGUUGUCCGGAUUUAUUGGGCGUAAAGCGAGCGCAGGCGGUUUCUUAAGUCUGAUGUGAAAGCCCCCGGCUCAACCGGGGAGGGUCAUUGGAAACUGGGAGACUUGAGUGCAGAAGAGGAGAGUGGAAUUCCAUGUGUAGCGGUGAAAUGCGUAGAUAUAUGGAGGAACACCAGUGGCGAAGGCGGCUCUCUGGUCUGUAACUGACGCUGAGGCUCGAAAGCGUGGGGGAGCAAACAGGAUUAGAUACCCUGGUAGUCCACGCCGUAAACGAUGAGUGCUAAGUGUUGGAGGGUUUCCGCCCUUCAGUGCUGCAGCUAACGCAUUAAGCACUCCGCCUGGGGAGUACGACCGCAAGGUUGAAACUCAAAGGAAUUGACGGGGGGCCCGCAC